UAAGAUCCCACAUCUGUACUGUCUGUUUGAUAGCAAGCUAUCAAUGUGCAUAAUACUUAACAAUCGGAGAGAGGGUAGGAAAAAAUGAUCUGCCCUCCGCAUGUUUUGAGAACACACACUCACACUGCUGCUGAUCUGCUUCUUCCUUGGUUUAUAUGAACAUGCAGGGAGAUGAUUAGCCUAGGUGGACAUUGACAUCAAACUGAGGUCCUGCCAAGGAUCAUGCAACAGGACCUUUGCUUUCCUCAUUGACCAUGACAGCUAACGGUCACUACAGCACCUGAUGACCAAAUUCAAUAACACUACCGAGCAUCAGAAGAAGAACUCCCCCGUUAAAGACAUCCUGAAGAUCAAACUACAACCAGUGGAUGUCGAUCCUCCGUCGUUGUUCAGCUACAAAACCAUCUCCAUCGUCCAGAAGGAACUCCUGACUCAGUUUGAGGACCUAGAGCAGAACCAAGUGGUUGUAGAAAAAUGGAUGUCUGGGUUCCGUAGGGGAGACAGCCUUUCAAGAAUGUUAAUAAACCAAGAGAGAACUCUCUUGCUGGAUAACCAAAA